rnacentral:tRNA from 1 species
GCUGGCGUAGCUCAACGGUAGAGCAACUGAUUUGUAAUUAGUAGGUUGGGGGUUCGAUUCCCUUCGCCAGCU